rnacentral:tRNA from 1 species
GCCUCAUUAGCUCAUCCGGCUAGAGCACUUCCUUAGUAACGAAGAGGCGCGGGGUUCGAGACCUCGAUGAGGCCCUA